CAGUGGGGAAUAUUGCACCAAUGGGCGAAAGCCUGAUGCAGCGACGCCGCGUGAGGGAUGACGGCCUUCGGGUUGUAAACCUCUUUCAGCAGGGACGAAGCGAAAGUGACGGUACCUGCAGAAGAAGCACCGGCCAACUACGUGCCAGCAGCCGCGGUAAUACGUAGGGUGCAAGCGUUGUCCGGAAUUACUGGGCGUAAAGAGCUCGUAGGCGGUUUGUCGCGUCGUCUGUGAAAACUCGAGGCUCAACCUCGAGCUUGCAGGCGAUACGGGCAGACUUGAGUACUGCAGGGGAGACUGGAAUUCCUGGUGUAGCGGUGAAAUGCGCAGAUAUCAGGAGGAACACCGGUGGCGAAGGCGGGUCUCUGGGCAGUAACUGACGCUGAGGAGCGAAAGCGUGGGUAGCGAACAGGAUUAGAUACCCUGGUAGUCCACGCCGUAAACGGUGGGCGCUAGGUGUGGGUUUCCUUCCACGGGAUCCGUGCCGUAGCUAACGCAUAAGCGCCCCCCCCGGGGCCCCCCCUACCAA
rnacentral:rRNA from 1 species